AGAAAGAUUAAGUAGGUGCAGUGUCUUAAUAAAAAGAAGGAAAAGGAAACUGUAGCCUAAACUAUGGAUAGAUGAAUAUUAAACUAUACGUAUUCAAGAUAAACUUACAUAUAUACGUAAUAAAAAUAAACAUACAUAUAUAUUUACAUUGAUAUACCUAUACUAUACCUAGUGUGAAUCAUUAAGAUGACGAUGAAGAAACUUUGUCAAGGAAAUACUUGCGCAACAUGCGCUUGAAUGCGAAUUUGGUCUGUGCUUGUCUAAUUGAGAGAGGAAGAGAAUUUUGAACUUGAU